AUUAAAUAAAUAGGUAAAUGUACCAAAGUAUAAAAUCUUCAUAUGGGAAUUAGGUGUUAAAUUCUUCUGUUUGAAUUAGGAUGUAUGGUGAUAAUACUCUCAAUACCUUGAAAUUUAUUAAAGCCCUUAUAGAAAAGUGAGUGGGAAUACAUGUGAGUAGAUUAGUCGAGUAACAGCCUUAGUAUCAAACUUUCCUAAUCCUGCUAAUUGUGAAUUGUAUAUUAACAACUUCACAAGUACUAAUCAAGGAAUUUUGAAGACCAUUUUUAUGGAACUGCUACUAGGCCGAUUAUUCUAUUCACAAAAGAAAAGGAUAAUAUAAUUAUAGUAAUAAUGGGAAAAUAUAAUAUUCUCUUUAUAUAAACUCGAACCAAUCGCCUUUUCCUGUUCUUUCAAAUCUAUUUCCCCUCCUAUCUCUCCUUGAAAUUUUAUUUAUUGAGCAUACUUCUGAGUCCAUUCUCUAGCGGUUUGCUCAUACUUCGACCUGUCAGUCUUAUACAAGUGAGCGAUCUCAGGUACUAGAGGAUCAUCUGGAUUAGCAUCUGUUAAAAGUGAUGAUAUAGAAAGAAGGACUUUUGAUAUAGUUAGUGCAGGACUCCAUUGUUCCUUUAAAAUAUCCAAACAAAUGGCUCCAUUUGAAUUUAUAUUGCAGUGAUAGAUUUUUGUAGUAAAGUUAACUUUUGGUGGUUUGAAUGGAUAAUCGCUGGGGAAUUGAAUAUUUAAAAAGAAUACUCCGCCAGCAUAUGAACUGUCAUCUGGACCCAUAAUAGUUGCUUGCCAGUGAAACAUAUCAUCUCCUAUAGGACCAGCUGAGCAAUUUGUUGGUGGAUCUCUAUUUAAGUCACUUAAUUCCUGAAUUAUUAAAAACAGAAAUAUAUGAAACAGAUGGUUAGUUAAUUCAAAUAUUGGGAAAACAGUUUGCCAGUUUGAAGCCUAUCAAAUCACAGGCAAGCACCCAGUUAGUAUGAAAUGCUGUACUCCAACUAAUAAUGCAGCAAAAAUCUAAAGGGAAGGAAGCUCUUAAAUUAAUUGAUUUUCCCCAAUCAACCACGGCUUGAAUGCAAACGUUUAACGACGUAGAAUGUCCAAUAUUAAAUUAAAAAAGGUAAAUGAGUAAGCCACACGAAAAAAGCUGUUAUUUAGGAAUUUUGUGGACAAAUAAAAUAGUCAUUAAAUUACCCCCCCAAUAAAAAAAUUUAGCACUUAAAAGUGGUGUUACAUCAUACAAAAUGGGAAACUGGCCAACAAAUUGUCAAAAACUUACCUUGUGAAUUCGUUUUAAUGCCAUCUUUCUUGACCUUUCUGUUUAAUCUUGGGUUAGAAGAAAUAUUCUCGCAAAUAUAUGACUCUAAUUCUAUAUUGCUUUGAAGCUUUGAAAAAUAAUUUUAUUGACCAACUUUAAAGCUACGAUUUUUUCCUUAGCUUUCCCCCUUUGCUCAAAUUUAUUUAAACUAAUAGCUGAACAACAAAAAUAUCAAUAAAAUCUACGCUGCGCGCCCCAAAGGCGCCACCCCGUUUAGUACAAAAGGCGGGAAUUGUGUUGAUGUGGGUAAAAAGUGGAAAAUUUGUUAAAGUUUGGGAAAAUUGUCACAAAAUGAUUACUAUGGAAUAAAAUAGAAAGACCAAUAAAAUUGCAAAUAUUUGCUAAUGCUUUCAAGAGAGAGAGGAAUAAAGAAAGAAAAUAUUUUACAAAUUUUUGUUAAGUUAUUUUUUUCCUAAAUUUAGAAUUUUUGCAAGAAUUUAAAAAAAUCUGGGAUUUUGAAUAUUAAUUAUACAUGCACAC
rnacentral:antisense_RNA from 1 species